rnacentral:miRNA from 1 species
UAUAGGAAUUCCUAUAGGAAUUCCUAUUAGAUUUUGGCCCAAUUUCCUAUAGGAAUUCCUAUAGGAUCCUAUAGGAAAUUGGGCCAAAAUCUAAUAGGAAUAUAUAAUUCCUAUA